rnacentral:rRNA from 1 species
GGAUACCCGAGGGAAACUUCGGUUAAUACGGUAUAAGACCACACUACCGCAUGGUAGAGGGGUAAAAGGGGCAACCUGGUAUGAGAUGGACUCGCGUCGCAUUAGCUAGUUGGUGAGGUAACGGCCCACCAAGGCGACGAUGCGUAGCCGACCUGAGAGGGUGAUCGGCCACAUUGGGACUGGGAUACGGCCCAGACUCCUACGGGAGGCAGCAGUGGGGAAUAUUGGGCAAUGGAGGAAACUCUGACCCAGCAAUGCCGCGUGAAUGAAGAAGGUCUUCGGAUUGUAAAGUUCUUUAGUCAGGGAAGAAGUCAAUGACGGUACCUGAAGAAUAAGCUCCGGCUAACUACGUGCCAGCAGCCGCGGUAAUACGUAGGGAGCAAGCGUUGUUCGGAAUGACUGGGCGUAAAGGGUGCGUAGGCGGUUGUACAAGUUAGAAGUGAAAUACCCAGGGCUUAACUCGGGUGCUGCUUCUAAAACUGUAUGACUUGAGUGCAGUAGAGGUUAGUGGAAUUCCUAGUGUAGCGGUGGAAUGCGUAGAUAUUAGGAGGAACACCAGAGGCGAAGGCGGCUAACUGGACUGCAACUGACGCUGAGGCACGAAAGUGUGGGGAGCAAACAGGAUUAGAUACCCUGGUAGUCCACACUGUAAACGAUGGAUACUAGAUGUAGGAGGUAUCGACUCCUUCUGCGUCGCAG